GACGUAGGGUGCGAGCGUUGUCCGGAUUUAUUGGGCGUAAAGCGCGCGUAGGUGGCCUCAUAAGUCCGCUGUGAAAGUCAAAGGCUCAACCUUUGAAAGCCGGUGGAUACUGUGAGGCUAGAGUACGGAAGAGGCGAGUGGAAUUCCUGGUGUAGCGGUGGAAUGCGCAGAUAUCAGGAGGAACACCAAUAGCGAAGGCAGCUCGCUGGGACGUUACUGACACUGAGGCGCGAAAGCGUGGGGAGCGAACAGG
rnacentral:rRNA from 1 species